UGGGGAAUUUUGGACAAUGGGCGAAAGCCUGAUCCAGCAAUGCCGCGUGUGUGAAGAAGGCCUUCGGGUUGUAAAGCACUUUUGUCCGGAAAGAAAUCCUUGGCUCUAAUACAGUCGGGGGAUGACGGUACCGGAAGAAUAAGCACCGGCUAACUACGUGCCAGCAGCCGCGGUAAUACGUAGGGUGCAAGCGUUAAUCGGAAUUACUGGGCGUAAAGCGUGCGCAGGCGGUUUGCUAAGACCGAUGUGAAAUCCCCGGGCUCAACCUGGGAACUGCAUUGGUGACUGGCAGGCUAGAGUAUGGCAGAGGGGGGUAGAAUUCCACGUGUAGCAGUGAAAUGCGUAGAGAUGUGGAGGAAUACCGAUGGCGAAGGCAGCCCCCUGGGCCAAAUACUGACGCUCAUGCACGAAAGCGUGGGGAGCAAACAGGAUUAGAUACCCUGGUAGUCCACGCCCUAAACGAUGUCAACCAGUUGUUGGGGAUUCAUUUCCUUAGUAACGUAGCUAACGCGUGAAGUUGACCGCCUGGGGAGUACGGUCGCAAGAUUAAAACUCAAAGGAAUUGACGGGGUCAUAGCUGUUUCC
rnacentral:rRNA from 1 species